rnacentral:rRNA from 1 species
CAGGAUGAACGCUAGCGGCAGGCCUAAUACAUGCAAGUCGGACGGGAUUUGGGAGCUUGCUCCUAAUGAGAGUGGCGCACGGGUGCGUAACACGUAUGUAACCUACCAUUGUCAGGGGGAUAGCCUCUCGAAAGAGAGAUUAACACCGCAUAACAUUAUUGAACGGCAUCGUUUAAUAAUCAAAUAUUUAUAGGACACUGAUGGGCAUGCGGGACAUUAGCUAGAUGGUGAGGUAACGGCUCACCAUGGCAACGAUGUCUAGGGGAUCUGAGAGGAUUACCCCCCACACUGGUACUGAGACACGGACCAGACUCCUACGGGAGGCAGCAGUAAGGAAUAUUGGUCAAUGGAGGCAACUCUGAACCAGCCAUGCCGCGUGCAGGAAGACGGCCCUACGGGUUGUAAACUGCUUUUGUACGGGAAUAAACCUCGAUACGUGUAUCGAGCUGAAUGUACUGUAAGAAUAAGGAUCGGCUAACUCCGUGCCAGCAGCCGCGGUAAUACGGAGGAUCCAAGCGUUAUCCGGAUUUAUUGGGUUUAAAGGGUGCGUAGGCGGCUUUUUAAGUCAGGGGUGAAAGGCGGUAGCUUAACUAUCGGAGUGCCCUUGAUACUGAAGAGCUUGAAUGCAGCUGAGGUAGGCGGAAUGUGACAAGUAGCGGUGAAAUGCAUAGAUAUGUCACAGAACACCGAUUGCGAAGGCAGCUUACUAAAGUGCGAUUGACGCUGAGGCACGAAAGCGUGGGGAUCAAACAGGAUUAGAUACCCUGGUAGUCCACGCCCUAAACGAUGAAUACUCGAUGUUGGCGAUAUACGGUCAGCGUCUAAGCGAAA